rnacentral:rRNA from 1 species
AGGACGAACGCUGGCGGCGUGCUUAACACAUGCAAGUCGAGCGGAAAGGCCACUUCGGUGGUACUCGAGCGGCGAACGGGUGAGUAACACGUGAGUAAUCUGCCCUUCACUUGGGGAUAACCUCCGGAAACGGUGGCUAAUACCCGAUAUGACCAUGGAUCGCAUGAUCUUGUGGUGGAAAGUUUUUUUCGGUGGAGGAUGUGCUCGCGGCCUAUCAGCUUGUUGGUGGGGUAAUGGCCUACCAAGGCUUCGACGGGUAGCCGGCCUGAGAGGGUGACCGGCCACGACUGGGACUGAGACACGGCCCAGACUCCUAGGGAGCAGCAGUGGGAAUAGUGGACAAGUGGGCGAAGCUAGAUCCAGCAACGCCGCGUGAGGAUGACGGCCUUGGGUUAGUAAACCUCUUCACCGUAUGACGAAGCGACAAGUGACGGUAGUCGGAAGAAGAAGCGACCGGCAACUACGUACGCCAGCAGCCGA